GAAAAAAGCGAGACAUGUAAUUAGACAGUGGAUUAAUUGAUCGUUUUUCAUUCUAUAUAUUUUCUAAUAUAUAGCUAUUAUCGUUUGCAUUUUAAGGUACCUUUUCUUUAAGGAAAAAUCUUAAAGAUUUUAGAAAAAAUCUAAUAUCUUGUUUUAUUCCAGUUUAUUACGAAACAGACUGAAUGUAUAAGAUUUAAUGAGAUUUAUUCCUUGACAUCUUGCUGUGACAAACGAUGGUAUACGAAAAGUUGCAUGAAUUUCAACAGCUUUUGAUUCGAUUGAUUAUAUUGCGCUACGGUAGUCAAUCGAUCGACAGCAGGAUAUUUCACAUAUGGAUACGAUGUGUCGGCAUUUAGCGUUGCUCUGUCAGUCAGGCCGUUUAAGCUUAUUUCGCGAGUACAAAAUACGCGUGUGGGGGACAUUCGCUACCGAAAUAAAUUCUUCCCACGCGCGAAUCGCAAUGCUAAAAGAGAUCCGGCGAUCCACUUCUAAAGUUAUCCCCUGGCUCUUGGGCACGUGUCGCGCGCCACGAACUUUUAGCUCAUCGUCUUUCCUCUUCACGUCGUAGAAAUUGAUGAAAUACGAUUGGAUGUAAGGAGGAAUAUCUUCGAUGGAGAAGAAUCAGUUUCGAGGAAGGGUCCCGCGAGGAACGCGACAGUUGGAAAGCGGCCAACGAACGCAGAGGAUGCAACACUCCUGGGUCGAUAUCCUAACGGGGCGGCGACAAGGGAUGCCGGUUAAAGGGAUGAGGGGGCAACUCCCUCUUCUGGGGCGUGUUGUACCCCUCUCGAACACAAGCCUCGCACAAGGUCAAACGGAAGAUGAUUCAUCCCUAGCUGACCGAAGGAUUUGAUUUAAUGCCUCGAAGAAAUGAAUCUACAUCGUGUCAGCUGCACUUUCUGCAUUUCAGAUAAAAAUACAUAGGAAAAUGUUUAGGUCUGCGAGAGAAAAAAAAAAGAGUAUUUAACUAUAAAAAUUAAGAAAACUAAUAUGAAUCGAUUCGAUAACAUUUUUUAAGCAUUAAAAUUUUUUUUUCGCCAAUAAGGUUUUAACGUCGCGCGUCAUUUCAAGGAACGAUGCGAUAAAUACUACACUUUCCGCGAAAGACCAUCAUAAAGGCGAGAGAAGAUAAUUAACCCGGCUGCCGGACGUAAAAGACGUCAGUGAACUUCGAGAGUUGCUAGCCCGCAAGAAAAUAACCGACCUCCUUACAGGCUCAUUGAAUUUUUCCCUCUCUCUUUCUUCGCUCUACGAACAGACCGUUCUCUGCACUAUAUGCAUCGCUCUCUUCUUUCUAGUUCACUGUCAUCUUCGAGGCGCGGCCAGGAACGAGGGGACACUAAAGGGGAGUUAGCAGAUUGGAAAAAGGGGAUAGUUUUGAAAAGAGAGCCGGUUCUUCUCUUCAUUUCCGAGGAUACGCGCGAAAUGCAAAAAAUUAUUAUCAUCAAAAGAAUAUGUUUGCCAUAAGAUUUCGUUCGCAUAUUCGAGAAAUGGAUCCUUACUUGGCAUUACCACGUUAUGCGACGUGUCAUAGCGUCAUCGCUCUGCGAACGCAUAAAUUCUUACGUAGGAGGAUCGUGUUGGCAAAAGGAUGCAUAUUUGCCAGAGGGUUAAGGUCGUGCUUAAUCGCACGGAUGGGGGAUCGCAUGAACGUGACGGUGAUCCGAUAGCGCGCGCGUCUCUCCAGUAUGCGAGUCAUAGUUUUAUAUUUAUAUACUGCAAGCCCGCAAGUGGUUUUGAUAAAGGAACGUGAGCAUCGCCGUAUUUAUGCGAUAUUAAAAUUUUUUGCAAUACACAUAAAGUAGAUGCUCCAUUAUCAUCGGUCGCCUCGUUAUUUUGCCAUUUCGCGUUGAUUCUUUCUCUCGUUACAUCAGUCACGGUUAGUGGAUCUGAUUUUACAGAAAAACAUAGCGAAAGAAUAGCUCAGUCAAUGUGUCAUGGAUGCUUUAGUAGUAUAAUAACAAAUAAGUAUUUUCAUUAUCACACACAAAUACAUUGGGAAGAUAAUUUUCAACGUGAACUUUGUUGUAUAAAUAAUAUUAUUUAAUAUAAAAAAAUAUAAUUUUUCUUAAGUAUUAUAACAUUGUUAAUCUUUUAUCACUGAUGGAAUUCUUAUCGAAUUAUUUUCUUUGUGUUGUAUAGUAGUAGAUUCUAAUAUACUAGUUUCUAUCAUAGUAUUACAAAUUAGUUUAUAAAAUCAAAAUUAGAAUCGCCUCAGAAAUAGACUUAUGCUCCUGCGAUAUCUUUUAUAGAUCGCGAUGUGAUUCGAAGGUGGAUUAUAGUAAUAUAAAACGAUCAAAUGGUAUACGAUAAUGGGACAAUAGAAACUGAUAUCUGCAAGAAUAUUUCUCUCUCUCUCUCUCUCUCUCUCUCUCUUUCUCCUUCAUACACCUGUAUGUACAUUCAUAUCAGAUGCAGCAAAUAUAACGUGAUGCAACCGAGAACAGAUUUAAUCUCUUGCUGUUAAUGGAAAUUGAUAUUAUCUCGUCAUCGUAAAUUUUUGUAAUAAAUUUUGAGAAAAAUAGUGCGUUGAGUACUUGAGAGGAUAGAAAGAAAUGGAUCCGAAUAAAAAUAGUCAGCAACGACACGCGAUUUAAAGCGCUGACCGAAAUAAAUGCGUACGCAACGCUUCCUCUUUUACGCAAACGAACGAAAAUGACAGAUCCCGAUAGCGAUUCCACGAUCUUGAAACGAUGCUUUGCAACUUCUUGCCAAUUUUAUUAUCUAAAAUUUGGAGAGCACACAACUAAAAUUUUUUUAUUCCAAAUAGACGCAUAUAUAAAACAAAUUUAGAUAAAAAUUUGUCCUAGAGUAAUAAUAAAAACUUUAGUGUAAUAAACUUGAGUAUAAUAAAAACUUUUUAAAUGCAUUUUUAUUAAAAAGUAUUCAAAAGAGGAUAGUUAAAACGUAAACCGGAAUUCAUAUGACGCGUUUACAAUUGAAGGUAGUAGCGACACUGGUUUGGGGGAAGCAUCUACAGUUCUCUUUCUCUCUCCUUCAUGCAAUCUCUCUUUAUCACGCAAUAUCUCUCUCUCUCUCUCUCUCUGUCUCUCUCUUUCUUUUUCUGUACAGUAGUCACUCGAAUGGCGUUUAGUGAAUGUUUGUCAAAAGCGAGCGGUGUUCACGUUGCGCAAUGUAUAAUUCUUCGCUUUGUGGUUAAUGAAAAUGUCAAACCGGCAAAAAAAAAUUUGCGACCUUCAAUUUAAUAAAGAAACUUUCAAUAUGUAUCUAGAUGAAAUUUUUCAAAAAAGAAUUGUGAAGAACGACAGUUGUAUACAUAAAAAAAAAAAAUUUUAAUUUUCAUAUAAUUUAUAUAAAAAUAAACUUACUAAUAAAAAAAUUGAAUAAAUUUAAGCUAUUCAUAUAAUACAGCGCCAUGCGAUAAACAUUAAUCCGAGAUUGGGGCACAGACGAUAUCCUCGAAACCGGGCGCGUAAGUAGUCGCACAGCUUUUUUUUCGCGAUAAUAAAUAGAUAAUGUCAAAGACAAGCGGAUAAAUAUAUUGUUGUUUCAAUUGUGUUUAUCGGAAUAUCAUAAACGCGGCUUUAACGAUUAUAAUUAUGACGAAUCAAAUUAUUGGCAUUCCGUUCCGGCAAGUCAUUACCUUGUACGUCGUGUUAUUGAGGCAAUUUUGGUCGACGACGUUUCGAAAAUAUCUUGGAAAUAAUUUAAAUAAACAUUGGCUUGUGUGUAUGUGUACAUAAAUUUCUUGUGUCGGAAUAAAUUGAGAUUUGUGUUGUGAGUAGAUAUAUCCCCUCUUAAAAGACGGAGUUGAAAGGAGAUAGAGCCAAAUCGCGCGUUAACUUUAAUCGACAUUUAUAAAAACGGCCGGCAAAGUUGCUAUUGCGCGAAUAGCGAUCAUGGCGUAGGAUACACGUAUCCCUCCAUACCAUUGGGAAGAUCGAACUCGUCGGAAUUGCACCGAUUACGAUCCGGGCGUACCGCUCGGAAAGGCAAAGGAAAGAGGCGACGGAGAUGGAGAUUGAGAGAGAGAGAGAGAGAGAGAGAGAGAGAGAGAGAAAGAAAGAGAAAGCGAAAUAGCGAAAGACGGAAAAAACGAGCGGUAGUCGCCUAGGCACGAAAGCGCGAUCUCACGCCACGGUGCCGCGAUGACGCGCGAGAAUCAUCGCCCAUCGUCGGGCCGCGGUCGGCAUGCCGACCGUGUAGAAGUGAAUCAUACGCUUCCUGGAAACGAUGGCAGGAUCCGCCGUCGCGGAAUCCGCACGCGAAGAACGGAAGGAGUGGGAGGAGGGGAGAGGAAGGAAGAAUACGCGAAACGCCACGACGACGCGAAAUUCAUCCGGUCGCUGUUGCUGAGAAAGUGAGGCGUAUCCGAUCCGAGGACUGCCGGACCCCUCGAGGCCAGAAAUGGCCGACCGGCGCGUCUGCUGCGGCCAUAACCACAAAAAAGUCGUCGUGUGCCGGGCGAGCGGCCUCGCCCGAGCCUCGCGUCGCCGUUCGCGUUUACGGACGGUAUACUCCCCGAUUUCUCUCCGAUAGUACUUAA